UUCAAGCUGCAGUGGCCUUAGGGCUGUUGGGGCCCUGAGCAAGGGAGUCAGUUGGGGCCCCUUAGAGGAUUAAUUCUGAUGACCUAUAAGCCAGUUGGAGAUUUUUGAUUUCAAUUUCACUUUGCCCUAU